rnacentral:rRNA from 1 species
AUUGAACGCUGGCGGCAUGCCUUACACACGCAAGUCGAACGGCAGCGGGGGAGAAGCUUGCUUUUCCUGCCGGCGAGUGGCGAACGGGUGAGUAAUACAUCGGAACGUGCCCUGUAGUGGGGGAUAACUAGUCGAAAGAUUAGCUAAUACCGCAUACGACCUGAGGGUGAAAGUGGGGGACCGCAAGGCCUCAUGCUAUAGGAGCGGCCGAUGUCUGAUUAGCUAGUUGGUGGGGUAAAGGCCUACCAAGGCGACGAUCAGUAGCUGGUCUGAGAGGACGAUCAGCCACACUGGGACUGAGACACGGCCCAGACUCCUACGGGAGGCAGCAGUGGGGGAUUUUGGACAAUGGGCGAAAGCCUGAUCCAGCAAUGCCGCGUGUGUGAAGAAGGCCUUCGGGUUGUAAAGCACUUUUGUCCGGAAAGAAAUGGCUCUGGUUAAUACCUGGGGUCGAUGACGGUACCGGAAGAAUAAGGACCGGCUAACUACGUGCCAGCCGCCGCAGUAA